UACGAAGGGGGCAAGCGUUGUUCGGAAUUACUGGGCGUAAAGGGCGCGUAGGCGGCCGCCUAAGUCAGACGUGAAAUCCCCAAGCUUAACUUGGGAACUGCGUCUGAUACUGGGCGGCUUGAGUUCGGGAGAGGAAUGUGGAAUUCCAGGUGUAGCGGUGAAAUGCGUAGAUAUCUGGAGGAACACCGGUGGCGAAGGCGGCAUCCUGGACCGGUAUUGACGCUGAGGCGCGAAAGCGUGGGGAGCGAACAGG
rnacentral:rRNA from 1 species